AGUUUAACCCCUCUCCACAUAGCUGUAUCUAUUCCUGGGGAGGAAGGAGUCCAGAUAACACAGUACCUCCUGCAUUCUGCACCAGAUCUUGAUGCAAGGGCAGAAGAUGGAAAUGAGGUAUAUGGUCCAGACCAGGUUCCUCUGCCUCAAACCAGAGAAACCCAGUUGUCCCGUGGUGUCACUGUGCACCUGAAGAAUGAAGCAGGACCACCAAAAGGGUACUUCUCCUCCUAUUUUGGUCCUGUUCCAGAAGAAGGUGGAAGGAGUGCAUUGCAUAUUGCAUGCGAAAGAGAGGAUAACUGUGAGCAUGCCAGAGAUGUUAUCCGCCUCCUUUUAAUGCAUAAGGCAAAUCCAAACACACUGUGGAG